GAUGAACGCUGGCGGCGUGCCUAAUACAUGCAAGUAGAACGCUGAAGGAGGAGCUUGCUCUUCUGGAAGAGUUGCGAACGGGUGAGUAACGCGUAGGUAACCUGCCUCUUAGCGGGGGAUAACUAUUGGAAACGAUAGCUAAUACCGCAUAAAAGUCGACAUUGCAUGAUGUUGACUUGAAAGGUGCAAUUGCAUCACUAAGAGAUGGACCUGCGUUGUAUUAGCUAGUUGGUGAGGUAACGGUUCACCAAGGCGACGAUACAUAGCCGACCUGAGAGGGUGAUCGGCCACACUGGGACUGAGACACGGCCCAGACUCCUACGGGAGGCAGCAGUAGGGAAUCUUCGGCAAUGGGGGCAACCCUAACCGAGCAACGCCGCGUGAGUGAAGAAGGUUUUCGGAUCGUAAAGCUCUGUUGUAAGAGAAGAACGAGUGUGAGAGUGGAAAGUUCACGCUGUGACGGUAUCUACCAG
rnacentral:rRNA from 1 species